rnacentral:lncRNA from 1 species
CAAUACUCAUUGGAGAAACCAGAUGAGGCUACCAAACCUGUUGAAGUAAAAGUGGUUGAGAAUCCAGCAACUGAAGUUGUCCCUGAGAAAGCUGAGGAAACACCUGCUGCUGCAGAAGAAAGCUCAGAAGUUACACCAGCUGGCGAAGAAAGCAAUGAAGCCAGUCCUGCUGCUGCUGGCAUAGAAGCUACUGAAACCAAUCCUGCCACUGAAGCUGCUGCUGAAGAAAGCAGGGAUAGUACUGAAAACUCAGGUGAUCAAGAAGCAGCUGAAGAGACACCUG